rnacentral:rRNA from 1 species
GGUAAAAAGAAAGCAUAUGAUGGAUGCCUUGGUUUUGAGAGGCUAUGAAGGACGUGUAUUAACUGCGAUAAGUUGCGGGGAUUUGUAAAAUAAAAUAUGAUCCGCAAAUUUCCGAAUGGGGUAACCUGUUAUAUUGAAGAUAUAACAUUAUUUUUAUAAAAUAAAGCUAACCUAAAGAACUGAAACAUCUUAUUAUUUAGAGGAAAAUAAAACAAAAAGUGAUUUCGUUAGUAGUGGCGAGCGAAAGCGAAAAAGUCUAAACUAUAUUUGUUAACGCUUAUAUAGGGUUACAGGAUUAUAUGAUUAAACAUUAUAUAAAAGAGUAUAAUAGAAAUAUUUGGAAAAAUAUACUAUAAAUGGUGAUAGUCCAGUAUAUGAAAUAUUUUUUUAUAUAAUAAAUAUAAUUCCUAAGUAAAACGGGACACGAGAAAUCUUGUUUGAAUUAGCCAGGACCAUCUGGUAAGACUAAAUACUACUCAAAAACCGAUAGUGAAGAAGUACCGUGAGGGAAAGGUGAAAAGAAUUUCUAAAAGAAAUGUGAAAUAGAUCCUGAAAUUAUAUGCUGACAAUCAGUCGAAGCUUCGAAAUGAAGUGACGUCUUGCCUUUUGCAUAAUGAACCUACGAGUUAAUUUUACUGGCAAGGUUAAAUAAUUUUAAUUAUGAAGCCGUAGCGAAAGCGAGUUUUAAAAGAGCUAUUUAGUCAGUAGAAUUAGACGCGAAACCGAGUGAUCUAUCUAUGAGCAGGUUGAAGUUAUGGUAAAACAUAAUGGAGGACCGAACCGGUAGAUGUUGAAAAAUCUUCGGAUGACUUGUGGAUAGGAGUGAAAGGCUAAUCAAACUCGGAGAUAGCUCGUACUCCUCGAAAUGCAUUGAGGUGCAGCGUUAUGUUAUAAUAUUAUAUAGGUAGAGCUACUAAUUUGAUGAUGAAGUGUCAAAACUUACUGAUUCUUAAUAAACUCCAAAUUGUAUAAUAUGUUUCAUAGCAGUGAGGAUAUGGGUGCUAAGAUCCAUAUCCAAAAGGGAAAGAACCCAGACCAUCAGUUAAGGUCCCUAAAUAUAUACUAAGUUGUAUAAACGAAGUUUUAUUUCUUAAACAGCUAGGAUGUAAGCUUGGAAGCAGCUAUUCAUUUAAAGAGUGCGUAACAGCUCACUAGUCUAGAAAUUAAACGCGGAUAAUAAUCGGGCAUAAGUAUAUUACCGAAACUAUGGAUUUAUAAUAAAUUAAAUAAUUUAUUUUAUUUAAUUUUUAUAAAUGGUAGAGGAGCAUUGUAAUUUUAUAGAAGUUAUAUUGAAAAGUAUAAUGGAAAAAUUACAAAAGAAAAUGUAGGUAUAAGUAACGAUAAUAUAGGUGAAAAACCUAUACACCGAAAAACUAAGGUUUCCUCAGCAAUGUUAAUCAACUGAGGGUUAGUCGGGUCCUAAGAUGAUACUGAAAAGUGUAGUCGAUGGAUAAUCGGUUAAUAUUCCGAUACUUGUUAGUUAAUAUAUGAUGGAAGGAAGGAGUGGUGAAACUAUUGCGUAAUAAUGGAUUGUUACGUUAAAAUAUGUAGGAAUAAAAAUAUAGUUAAAUGCGUAUUUUUUCCGAAAUAUGAUAGUACUAUUUAAAAUAGAUAAUAUAGGUAAUAGCUCCCAAGAAAAGUUUCUAAAUUUUUUAAUUAACAACUCGUACCAAAACCGACACAGGUAGUUAAGGAGAAUAUCCUAAGGUGCUCGAGUGAUUCACAGCUAAGGAACUCGGCAAAAUUGACUUGUAACUUCGGGAUAAAAGUCACCAAUGUAAUAUCUAUAAUAUUAUUUUGGUCUCAGUAAAAUAAUUCAGACGACUGUUUAUCAAAAACACAGGACUCUGCUAAAAUCGAAAGAUGAUGUAUAGGGUCUGACACCUGCCCAGUACUGGAAGGUUAAAUUAAAUUGUUAAUAUAAUAAAAAUUUAUUUUUAUUAUAUAAAGCUUUUGAAAUAAGCCCCAGUAAACGGCGGCCGUAACUAUAACGGUCCUAAGGUAGCGAAAUUCCUUGUCGGGUAAGUUCCGACCUGCACGAAUGGUGUAACGAUCUGAAUACUGUCUCAGCUGUGAGCUCGGUGAAAUUGUAAUAUCGGUGAAGAUACCGAUUAGUCGCAAUGGGACGAAAAGACCCUGUGAACCUUUACUAUAACUUCGUAUUGAAAUUUAAUAAAUAAUGUGUAGAAUAGGUGGGAGACUUUGAAGUAUUAUCGCUAGAUAAUAUGGAGUCAAAAUAUGAAAUACCACCCUUUAUUUGUUAAUUUUCUAAUUAAUUAAAAAAAAUUAAGACAAUGCGUGGUGGGUAGUUUGACUGGGGUGGUCGCCUCCUAAAAAGUAACGGAGGCUUCCAAAGGUGCUUUCAACACGUAUAGUAAUCGUGUGUAGAGUAUAAUGGCAUAAAAGCGCUUAACUGUAAGAUUUACAAAUCGAACAGAUACGAAAGUAGGGCAUAGUGAUCCGGUGGUUUCUGUAUGGAAAGGCCAUCGCUCAAAGAAUAAAAGGUACUCCGGGGAUAACAGGCUAGUCUCCCCCAAGAGCUCUUAUCGACGGGGAGGUUCGGCACCUCGAUGUCGGCUCGUCACAUCCUGGGGCUGUAGAAGGUCCCAAGGGUUGGGCUGUUCGCCCAUUAAAGUGGCACGCGAGCUGGGUUCAGAACGUCGUGAGACAGUUCGGUCUCUAUCUAUUGCGACCGCAAGAAGUUUGAAGUAGUCCUAAUUUUAGUACGAGAGGACCAAAUUGGAUGAGUCUAUGGUGAAUCAGUUGUAUCACCAGAUGCAUGGCUGAGUAGCUAAACUCAUAAAAGAGAAGCACUGAAAGCAUAUAAAGUGCGAAACUUACUACAAGAUAAAACUUCUUUUAAGGAUAGUUGUAGAUUACAACAUUGAUAGGCUAUAAGUGUACAAAUAGUAAUAUUUUAAGCUGAUUAGUACUAAUUAUCCGUAAUUACUAA